UAAGAAAUACUACAAUGCUUCCUCCCAAUAACAAUACUCCUUUAUCAAUUGAUAACCACAAGGUGCAACCCUACACUCUCAAAAGUCUGCUCAAAACUCAAUAAAUUCCAUCCAACACGAGGAAUAACAGACUUCACUCCAACCAAUCUGAAUUCACAGAAUUCUUGUAAUCACAAACUUCCUCUGUCAAAACACACACACAACUUUCAAUAAACAAUAAUCAUAAUCUUCCAUCCAUAAUCAAUCUUUCAAUAACUUUUCAUAUAAUUCAAUCACUCAGUACUCCAAUUACAUCAUCAAUAACUCAUAAAUCAAUCUCUGAUUUAUUCCACACACUCAUUU
rnacentral:lncRNA from 1 species